ACGAACGCUGGCGGCGUGCUUAACACAUGCAAGUCGAACGGAAAGGCCCUGCUUUUGUGGGGUGCUCGAGUGGCGAACGGGUGAGUAACACGUGAGUAACCUGCCCUUGACUUUGGGAUAACUUCAGGAAACUGGGGCUAAUACCGGAUAGGAGCUCCUGCUGCAUGGUGGGGGUUGGAAAGUUUCGGCGGUUGGGGAUGGACUCGCGGCUUAUCAGCUUGUUGGUGGGGUAGUGGCUUACCAAGGCUUUGACGGGUAGCCGGCCUGAGAGGGUGACCGGCCACAUUGGGACUGAGAUACGGCCCAGACUCCUACGGGAGGCAGCAGUGGGGAAUAUUGCACAAUGGGCGGAAGCCUGAUGCAGCAACGCCGCGUGCGGGAUGAGGGCCUUCGGGUUGUAAACCGCUUUCGCCUGCGACGAAGCGUGAGUGACGGUAAUGGGUAAAGAAGCACCGGCUAACUACGUG
rnacentral:rRNA from 1 species